AGAAUGCUCAUACCCUUCUGCACUACCUCCAAAUAGACGAGGCUCUACUGAAAAAAUCGGAAUAAUGUGAAAUAACAAGUUGCUGUUUGGACGCCAUAUCUCAAUUUGCUAUAUCUACAAAUUAACGAUACCAAAGUGCUAGUAGGGGCUAAAUGCAGAAAUUUAAGCCAUUCACCAUUACGGAUAGAACAUGAAAUUCUCAUUUAAGCUAUGCUACUUGAAUAUGUUCUCGUUAAGAAUUGUUUCACCCUAGUGCAAGAUCCGCGGUCAU